rnacentral:lncRNA from 1 species
CCGAAUGCCAUGAUUUCAGAUCUGAACAUAUUAUGUUCUCGUCAAUAUAUGUGUGUUCUAGAUCCUAUAUAUCUUGCAAGUUGUAGUCACCUACUAUGUGUUAUGACCCGGCAACCCCGGAGUGACAAUAGCCGGAACCACUUCCGAAGAUGACCAUAGUAUUUAGGAGUUCAUGAGGAGUUCAUUUCAAUUCCAACAAAUGAGAUCUGGUGAUCGGACCCCUCACGG